GAUGAACGCUGGCGGCGUGCCUAAUACAUGCAAGUCGAGCGAACGGACGAGAAGCUUGCUCCUCUGACGUUAGCGGCGGACGGGUGAGUAACACGUGGAUAACCUACCUAUAAGACUGGGAUAACUUCGGGAAACCGUAGCUAAUACCGGAUAAUAUUUUGAACCGCAUGGUUCAAAAGUGAAAGACGGUUUUGCUGUCACUUAUAGAUGGAUCCGCGCUGCAUUAGCUAGUUGGUAAGGUAACGGCUUACCAAGGCAACGAUGCGUAGCCGACCUGAGAGGGUGAUCGGCCACACUGGAACUGAGACACGGUCCAGACUCCUACGGGAGGCAGCAGUAGGGAAUCUUCCGCAAUGGGCGAAAGCCUGACGGAGCAACGCCGCGUGAGUGAUGAAGGUCUUCGGAUCGUAAAACUCUGUUAUUAGGGAAGAACAUAUGUGUAAGUAACUCUGCACGUCUUGACGGUACCUAAUCAGAAAGCCACGGCUAACUACGUG
rnacentral:rRNA from 1 species